SUUAGCGGCGGACGGGUGAGUAACACGUGGGCAACCUGCCCCUUAGACUGGGAUAACUCCGGGAAACCGGAGCUAAUACCGGAUAAUCCCUUUYUCCACCUGGAGAGAGGGUGAAAGAUGGCUUCGGCUAUCACUAGGGGAUGGGCCCGCGGCGCAUUAGCUAGUUGGUAAGGUAACGGCUUACCAAGGCAACGAUGCGUAGCCGACCUGAGAGGGUGAUCGGCCACACUGGGACUGAGACACGGCCCAGACUCCUACGGGAGGCAGCAGUAGGGAAUCUUCCGCAAUGGACGAAAGUCUGACGGAGCAACGCCGCGUGAGUGAGGAAGGCCUUCGGGUCGUAAAGCUCUGUUGUGAGGGAAGAAGCGGUACCGUUCGAAUAGGGCGGUACC
rnacentral:rRNA from 1 species